AUUCUUGUAUAGAGGCAACGUCAUAGCUUGUGAGGUUUAUGUGAGAAAUGAUUGUUACUAAUUGAAAGUUUUACUCAAUACCCUGUCUAGGUGACUUGAAAAAUAGUCAGUUGUGGCAAUUUUUGGUGAUCUCUACAGACA